ensembl:lncRNA
CUGUGACACCCUGACCUGACACCAGGAUGAGAUUUGCUGCGUCCAUCCAUCAGCGGUAAUGUGUGAUCACACCGCUCUGACCUUAAGGAAUGGAGUCUUCAUCAGUGCAUCCCAGGUUCCCAGCACCCAGACAAGGGGUGAAUUAGUAUGCGGGUGAAGCAAUAUAAUCUCUCUUGGCUUUCUGCUCACAAUCCUACCGCUUAGAGGACACUGUUUGACUUUGUGCCAUGUAGCGUCAAUACAACAUUGAUUGAUAACGGCGAGCCGGUAUCCUGGAACCAAGUGUUGUGCUACUAGGGCAAGAGUGCUGGAACACGAGAGCAGAGAAUGGCUCCGCUUCACCAUGGGGAUGAAUUACUUCUGACAUGAUUAGGUGGUACCAUUUAUUUACUGUCAAGUAAUUAUCAAAUUGAUCAGUCUUUUGAAUAUUCUUACAACAGCUUGUCUAACAUUUUAUUGUCUGAUUUGAGUGUCUUUUUUUACAGCUACAGACUUUUGAGGAGGUUGCUAAAGGACACCUUAUGGUUGUUUCUGCCUUGAGGUGGAGUGGAGGAAGCGGAGGGAAGAGCUAUGGUUCCACUGAGGAAGCCAAACAUAAGGAGGUCUGGUUAGCUACUAGGACGAGAGUGAUGGAACACAACAAGCGGGCAGAGAAUGGCUCGGAGAGCUUCACCGUGGGGAUGAAUCAUGCUUCUGACAGGGUAUGAUCACGACUACUGGGAAGGUUACAAGAUGAAGGGUAAGUUCGUCUUGUUUGUCAAGACAACCAGCGUUUUUCGUCUCAGCUCCUGCUUCUCCCCAGUCUCUCUCUUUCUCGCCCUCCUGGUUUUGACCCUUGCCUGUCUCUGAGCCCGCCCACCUGCCUGACCAUCCUGCCUGACCCUUGCCUGUCUCUGAGCCCGCCCACCUGCCUGACCCUAAGCCUGCCUGACCAUCCUGUAUCUUUCUCCCACUACUCUGGUUAUCAACCCCUGCCUGCCUUGACCUGAUGUUUGCCUGCUCUGUUGCCAUAAUAAACAUUGUUACUCC